GAUGAACGCUGGCGGCGUGCCUAAUACAUGCAAGUAGAACGCUGAAGCUUGGUGCUUGCACCGAGCGGAUGAGUUGCGAACGGGUGAGUAACGCGUAGGUAACCUGCCUGGUAGCGGGGGAUAACUAUUGGAAACGAUAGCUAAUACCGCAUGACAACAGUUAUUGCAUGAUAACUGUUUAAAAGGGGCAACUGCUCCACUACCAGAUGGACCCGCGUUGUAUUAGCUAGUUGGUGAGGUAACGGCUCACCAAGGCGACGAUACAUAGCCGACCUGAGAGGGUGAUCGGCCACACUGGGACUGAGACACGGCCCAGACUCCUACGGGAGGCAGCAGUAGGGAAUCUUCGGCAAUGGACGGAAGUCUGACCGAGCAACGCCGCGUGAGUGAAGAAGGUUUUCGGAUCGUAAAGCUCUGUUGUAAGAGAAGAACGAGUGUGAGAGUGGAAAGUUCACACUGU
rnacentral:rRNA from 1 species